rnacentral:rRNA from 1 species
GACGGGACCCGCACAAGCGGUGGAUGAUGUGAUUAAUUCGAUGCAACGCGAAAACCUUACCUACCCUUGACAUGUCCGGAAUCCCGAAGAGAUUUGGGAGUGCUCGCAAGAGAGCCGGAACACAGGUGCUGCAUGGCUGUCGUCAGCUCGUGUCGUGAGAUGUUGGGUUAAGUCCCGCAACGAGCGCAACCCUUGUCAUUAGUUGCCAUCAUUUGGUUGGGCACUCUAAUGAGACUGCCGGUGACAAACCGGAGGAAGGUGGGGAUGACGUCAAGUCCUCAUGGCCCUUAUGGGUAGGGCUUCACACGUCAUACAAUGGAUGGUACAAAGGGUCGCCAACCCGCGAGGGGGAGCCAAUCCCAUAAAGCCAUUCGUAGUCCGGAUCGCAGUCUGCAACUCGACUGCGUGAAGUCGGAAUCGCUAGUAAUCGUGGAUCAGAAUGUCACGGUGAAUACGUUCCCGGGUCUU